GUGUCUAUGGUGUAAUGGUAGCAUACCAUACUGUGACUUUGUAGGUGUUGGUUCAAUCCCAACUAGGCACCCCA
rnacentral:tRNA from 1 species